UUUCCGUAGGUGAACCUGCGGAAGGAUCAUUAAAGAGUUAGGGUCUUCUAGGCCCGACCUCCCAACCCUAUGUUUAUUGAACCUCUGUUGCUUCGGCGGACCCGCCUCACGGCCGCCGGAGGACCGCUGAAAGGCGUCCUCUGGCCAGCGUCCGCCGAUAGCCAACCACUUAAAACUCAAAAUAAAUCGUGUCAUAUGUCUAAGUCUUAUGAUUAAAUUAAAGCAAAACUUUCAACAACGGAUCUCUUGGUUCUG
rnacentral:misc_RNA from 1 species